rfam:Zea mays cultivar B73 chromosome 9, whole genome shotgun sequence.
GUGGAAGGGGCAUGCAGAGGAGCACGAACGAGGUGUGGUUGGCCCCUCGUUAGCUCUCCUGUGCCUGCCUCUUCCAUU